GAGCGUAGAGUAACAAUACGAUGUUGAAAUUUACUGUCAAAGUUGGAUAGAUUUGCGCUGAUUAACAAUGGAACAAACUGCUAUUGAUUGACAUGGAGGAUUUCUAAAUUAAGGAGUUGAUAUUCCGCAUCAGGUGAACAGAUACUUCAUGAAUUAUAUGAAUCACCAGGGAAAGGACCCAACUACUUGCACAGAUGCAUCCUGGCGGGUGAAAGAAGGGAUGAUCACUUUGGCAACAGAUUGUUCAACUGCUUAAAUGUUGAUGUGGACUCAGUCAAAGAAUUUGCUGUAACUGUGUAUGUCUCUUCACUAUGUGGACAUAAAGUGCUACAGCUGGUUGGAUAUUAAGAUCACAAUGUACUGUUUUAAUGGAGAACAUCUGUGAAUAUUUAUUUUAACAAUGGAAAUUCAAACCUG